GGACUACCGGGGUUUCUAAUCCUGUUUGCUCCCCUUGCUCUCGCGCCUCAGCGUCAGGUGUUAGCUAGAAAACCGCUUUCGCCACCGAUGUUCCUCCACAUAUCUACGCAUUUCACCGCUACACGUGGAAUUCCGUUUUCUCCGCCAACCCUCUAGAUCAACAGUUUCAAAUGCAGUGCUGAGGUUGAGCCCCAGAAUUUCACAUCUGACUUACUGAUCCGCCUACGCGCCCUUUACGCCCAAUAAUUCCGAUUAAUGCUUGCACCCUACGUAUUACCGCGGCUGCUGGCAC
rnacentral:rRNA from 1 species